rnacentral:rRNA from 1 species
GACGAACGCUGGCGGCGCGCUUAAUACAUGCAAGUCGGACGAGAAGCCAGAGCUUGCUCUGGUGGAAAGUGGCGAACGGGUGAGUAACACGUGAGAAACCUGCCCAAAGAUUGGGAUAAGCCUUGGAAACGAGGUCUAAUACCAAAUACCUUCUUUUUAACACAUGUUAAAAAGAAGAAAUGCUCCGGCGCUUUGGGAUGGUCUCGCGAUCUAUCAGCUUGUUGGUGAGGUAACGGCUCACCAAGGCAUCGACGGAUAGCUGGUCUGAGAGGAUGUCCAGCCACAUUGGAACUGAGACACGGUCCAAACUCCUACGGGAGGCAGCAGUAGGGAAUCUUGCACAAUGAGGGAAACCUUGAUGCAGCGACGCCGCGUGCGGGACGAAGGCCCUAGGGUUGUAAACCGCUUUCAGUAGGGACGAAAGUGACGGUACCUACAGAAGAAGCCCCGGCAACUAUGUGCCAGCAGCCGCGGUAAU